GAUGAACGCUGGCGGCGUGCCUAAUACAUGCAAGUCGAGCGAACAGACGAGGAGCUUUCUCCUCUGACGUUAGCGGCGGACGGGUGAGUAACACGUGGAUAACCUACCUAUAAGACUGGGAUAACUUCGGGAAACCGGAGCUAAUACCGGAUAAUAUAUUGAACCGCAUGGUUCAAUAGUGAAAGACGGUUUUGCUGUCACUUAUAGAUGGAUCCGCGCCGCAUUAGCUAGUUGGUAAGGUAACGGCUUACCAAGGCAACGAUGCGUAGCCGACCUGAGAGGGUGAUCGGCCACACUGGAACUGAGACACGGUCCAGACUCCUACGGGAGGCAGCAGUAGGGAAUCUUCCGCAAUGGGCGAAAGCCUGACGGAGCAACGCCGCGUGAGUGAUGAAGGUCUUCGGAUUGUAAAACUCUGUUAUUAGGGAAGAAAAAAUGUGUAAGUAACUAUGCACGUCUUGACGGUACCUAAUCAGAAAGCCACGGCUAACUACGUG
rnacentral:rRNA from 1 species